rnacentral:lncRNA from 1 species
GAAGGCAGCUGUCAACCUUGUAGGUAGCCCACUAUUAAAAGGAAACAAAAGUGGGAUCCCUGGGUGGCGCAGCGGUUUGGCGCCUGCCUUUGGCCCAGGGCGCGAUCCUGGAGACCCGGGAUCGAAUCCCACAUCGGGCUUCCGGUGCAUGGAGCC